rnacentral:lncRNA from 1 species
AUGAUGGGAACCCUUGUGACCCGUAAAGACAUCUCCCCCGUAGGUGAAAGUUCCUGAAGACCUGAAAGAUCCAGAAGUAGUCCAGGUCCAGUCGCUGGUGCUAAAAUCUCUGUUUGGUCCACUGGGAUCUCGAAUGUCUCGCAUCGAGCAGGUGAGCCAGGCCAUGUUUGAGCUGAAGAACCUGGAAUCUCCCAAAGAACUUAUCGAGGUCUUCAUUUAUGGCUCUCAAAACAACAAGGUUCGGGAUAAAUGGAUGCUUCAGUCCAUGGCUGAGAGGUACCGCCUGCGCCAGCAAAGUGGAGUGCUGAAGCUGGAGGAAUCCAUGAAGACCCUGGAGCUAGGCCAGUAUAUCGAGUGA